GUGGCUGUAGCUCAGUUGGUAGAGCCCCUGGUUGUGGUCCAGGUGGUCGUGGGUUCGAGUCCCAUCAGCCACCUCA
rnacentral:tRNA from 1 species